ensembl:misc_RNA Metazoa_SRP Metazoan signal recognition particle RNA
ACCAGGUAUGGUGGGCGCGUGACUGUAGUACCAGCUACUUGGAAGGCUGAGGCAAGAGGAUUGCCUGAGUCCGGGAGUUCUGGGCUAUAGUGUGCUAUGCUGAUUGGGUGUCUGCACUAAGUGUGGCCCCAAUAUGGUGACCUCCUAGGAGCAGGGGACCAGCAGGUUGCCUAAGGAGGGGUGAACUGGCCCAGUUCAGAAAUGGAGCAGGUCAAAAGUCCUGUGCUGAUCAAUAGUGGGGCUGCACUUGUGAAUAGCCACUGCACUGCAGCCUGGGCAACAUAGCGAGACCCCAUCUCUU